rnacentral:rRNA from 1 species
CCUACGGGUGGCUGCAGUGGGGAAUAUUGGACAAUGGGCGAAAGCCUGAUCCAGCCAUGCCGCGUGUGUGAAGAAGGCCUUCGGGUUGUAAAGCACUUUCAGUGGGGAAGAAAGCCUUGGGGCUAAUACCCUCGAGGAAGGACAUCACCCACAGAAGAAGCACCGGCUAACUCCGUGCCAGCAGCCGCGGUAAUACGGAGGGUGCGAGCGUUAAUCGGAAUUACUGGGCGUAAAGCGCGCGUAGGCGGUCUGAUAAGUCGGUUGUGAAAGCCCCGGGCUCAACCUGGGAACGGCAUCCGGAACUGUCAGGCUAGAGUGCAGGAGAGGAAGGUAGAAUUCCCGGUGUAGCGGUGAAAUGCGUAGAGAUCGGGAGGAAUACCAGUGGCGAAGGCGGCCUUCUGGACUGACACUGACGCUGAGGUGCGAAAGCGUGGGUAGCAAACAGGAUUAGAUACCCGGGUAGUC